rnacentral:rRNA from 1 species
AUACACAUGCAAGUCGAACGGUAACAGGGUGCUUGCACCGCUGACGAGUGGCGAACGGGUGAGUAAUGCGUCGGAACGUGCCGAGUAGUGGGGGAUAACGCAGCGAAAGUUGUGCUAAUACCGCAUACGUACUGAGGUAGAAAGUGGGGGACCUUCGGGCCUCACGCUAUUCGAGCGGCCGACGUCUGAUUAGCUAGUAGGUGAGGUAAAGGCUCACCUAGGCGACGAUCAGUAGCGGGUCUGAGAGGAUGAUCCGCCACACUGGGACUGAGACACGGCCCAGACUCCUACGGGAGGCAGCAGUGGGGAAUUUUGGACAAUGGGCGAAAGCCUGAUCCAGCCAUGCCGCGUGUCUGAAGAAGGCCUUCGGGUUGUAAAGGACUUUUGUCAGGGAGGAAAUCCCUAGUGCUAAUACCGCUGGGGGAUGACAGUACCUGAAGAAUAAGCACCGGCUAACUACGUGCCAGCA